AAUGCCUAGGAAUCUGCCUGGUAGUGGGGGAUAACGUUCGGAAACGGACGCUAAUACCGCAUACGUCCUACGGGAGAAAGCAGGGGACCUUCGGGCCUUGCGCUAUCAGAUGAGCCUAGGUCGGAUUAGCUAGUUGGUGAGGUAAUGGCUCACCAAGGCGACGAUCCGUAACUGGUCUGAGAGGAUGAUCAGUCACACUGGAACUGAGACACGGUCCAGACUCCUACGGGAGGCAGCAGUGGGGAAUAUUGGACAAUGGGCGAAAGCCUGAUCCAGCCAUGCCGCGUGUGUGAAGUAGGUCUUCGGAUUGUAAAGCACUUUAAGUUGGGAGGAAGGGUUGUAGAUUAAUACUCUGCAAUUUUGACGUUACCGACAGAAUAAGCACCGGCUAACUCUGUGCCAGCAGCCGCGGUAAUACAGAGGGUGCAAGCGUUAAUCGGAAUUACUGGGCGUAAAGCGCGCGUAGGUGGUUUGUUAAGUUGGAUGUGAAAUCCCCGGGCUCAACCUGGGAACUGCAUUCAAAACUGACUGACUAGAGUAUGGUAGAGGGUGGUGGAAUUUCCUGUGUAGCGGUGAAAUGCGUAGAUAUAGGAAGG
rnacentral:rRNA from 1 species